CCUACGGGUGGCAGCAGUGGGGAAUAUUGGACAAUGGGCGAAAGCCUGAUCCAGCCAUGCCGCGUGUGUGAAGAAGGCCUUCGGGUUGUAAAGCACUUUCAGUGGGGAAGAAAGCCUUGGGGCUAAUACCCUCGAGGAAGGACAUCACCCACAGAAGAAGCACCGGCUAACUCCGUGCCAGCAGCCGCGGUAAUACGGAGGGUGCGAGCGUUAAUCGGAAUUACUGGGCGUAAAGCGCGCGUAGGCGGUCUGAUAAGCCGGUUGUGAAAGCCCCGGGCUCAACCUGGGAACGGCAUCCGGAACUGUCAGGCUAGAGUGCAGGAGAGGAAGGUAGAAUUCCCGGUGUAGCGGUGAAAUGCGUAGAGAUCGGGAGGAAUACCAGUGGCGAAGGCGGCCUUCUGGACUGACACUGAUGCUGAGGUGCGAAAGCGUGGGUAGCAAACAGGAUUAGAUACCCUUGUAGUC
rnacentral:rRNA from 1 species